CCUCUUUAUAGAAUGAGAGUUAUAGAGUAGUAGUCAGUGCGUCAUUUCUCGGAUGGAGAUAAAGAUUUAGAACCAUAUCAUAAAUUAAGCGUCAACAAUCGCGUCAAGAAAAUUGAAUGACAAUCACAUUUAAAGUUAAGGGAUAAGACGUAAUUAUAAAAAUAAUACAAUGUAGUGUAUUUACCUAUGAUACAACUACAACAAGAGACCAAAUGACAUGUAUUUUAGCAGCUUUAUUUCACCGUAUAAACUUUUACAAUGAGCAUAAACGAUAUUUAUCGUCUAGUCUGUAACAAAAGGCAAGACAACAUUUGAAAACAAACGGCCUAAUUAAAAAAAAAACAACAAAAGUAAAGCGAAAAACAAAUAUCUCUGACAUUAAACAACACGAUGAAAGUGGUGUAACAAGAUAAGUACAAACUGUAAAACAAUCAGUUUGAAAUGGCUUAUCUCAAUAGACUGGUACAAGCCACAACAAAAACCUUAUGUAAUUACAAAAUUCAUAAAGAAACCACAGUACUCACAGUUAUUGAAAGCUAGUUUAAAGCCAAAAACAUCCAUAUUCAACCA
rnacentral:lncRNA from 1 species